GAUAGUGUGGCCGAGUGGUCUAUGGCGCUGGUUUUAGGCACCAGUCUCUUCGGAGGGAAGGGUUCGAAUCCCUUCACUGUCA
rnacentral:tRNA from 1 species